GACGAACGCUGGCGGCGUGCCUAAUACAUGCCAGUUGAGCGCUGAAGGUUGGUACUUGUACCAACUGGAUGAGCAGCGAACGGGUGAGUAACGCGUGGGGAAUCUGCCUUUGAGCGGGGGACAACAUUUGGAAACGAAUGCUAAUACCGCAUAAAAACUUUAAACACAAGUUUUAAGUUUGAAAGAUGCAAUUGCAUUACUCAAAGAUGAUCCCGCGUUGUAUUAGCUAGUUGGUGAGGUAAAGGCUCACCAAGGCGAUGAUACAUAGCCGACCUGAGAGGGUGAUCGGCCACAUUGGGACUGAGACACGGCCCAAACUCCUACGGGAGGCAGCAGUAGGGAAUCUUCGGCAAUGGACGAAAGUCUGACCGAGCAACGCCGCGUGAGUGAAGAAGGUUUUCGGAUCGUAAAACUCUGUUGGUAGAGAAGAACGUUGGUGAGAGUGGAAAGCUCAUCAAGUGACGGUAACUACCCAGAAAGGGACGGCUAACUACGUG
rnacentral:rRNA from 1 species